ensembl:lncRNA
AUUUUGACUGCAAAGCUUCGUGUGUUUCUUUAUUACCAAACCACUUCACCGUGAGAUAAAAGUAGAUUAAAAUACCACCACAAACAUUAUUCAAAAAUCACAUUUUUUAUUUUCUUACAAGAAUUCAGUUAAUAAAACAUCUAAUCCCAAAGUGAUUGGAAAGCAACACUUCACAAAACAAGACCAAAGUACACACCUUACAAAUUAUCUAAGCAAUACCAGUAAUAAACAAGGUUAUCAUUUUGUGCAAAAUUAUAUUAAAUUUGGCUCCAUGCUCCCGAGUGGUGUGACGUGGUUUAAAGUGACUGCGCUGCAUGCCAAUAAGAAGUCAGUAGUGGUUUCUAAGAUAGCUGCGCCGCCUUGUGGUACAUCGUGGUAUUACAUGAAUGCUGCGCCACCCUGUGGUACAUCGUAGUAUUACAUCUAACCUACCAGUGGGCAUUUCUCCAUUCCACUCAGUCAGUCAGUAAUCUCACAUUCCUUCUGUAUAAGUGGAUACUCACACAGUACACAAUACAAAUCGACGUAUGAAAAUAGUGUGCGACCAGUGUCAUCUACCUAUGAAAACAAUCCUACCAUUUAAAAAGAAGUGUGUUAUAUCAAAAACAUAGGAUACCAUAGUGCAUCAGAUUGUACAAGAUUUGCAUCCAUCAUUGUGUUCGUCCAGAACUCUCUGCCAGAAGCAAAGGAAUUACCCCACAGUAUACAGCACAGUGAAAAACACAUGUUUAAAGUCAGUCAGACAUUUAGAUUGGAGUUGGUGAUUAGAAACAAGCAGUCCACAGACGUCAUCAUAUGGCUAUAGAUGGUUAAACAUGCAGAAGAGAAAGGCAAGUCUUAUUGUACCUAACACACUGUGCAGUUGUUCCUCUUUAAAAGGUCUCAGUCAGUUGUUCCUCUUUAAAAGGUCUCAGUCAGUUGUUCCUCUUUAAAAGGUCUCAGUCAGUUGUUCCUCUUUAAAAGGUCUCAGUCAGUUGCUCCUCUUUAAAAGGUCUCAGUCAGUUGUUCCUCUUUAAAAGGUCUCAGUCAGUUGCUCCUCUUUAAAAGGUCUCAGUCAGUUGCUUCCUCAGUUAUUCCUCUUUAAAAGGUCUCAGUCAGUUGCUCCUCUUUAAAAGGUCUCAGUCAGUUGCUCCUCUUUAAAAGGUCUCAGUCAGUUGUUCCUCUUUAAAGGUCUCAGUCAGUUGCUCCUCUUUAAAAGGUCUCAGUCAGUUGCUCCUCUUUAAAAGGUCUCAGUCAGUUGUUCCUCUUUAAAAGGUCUCAGUCAGUUGUUCCUCUUUAAAGAUCUCGGUCAGUUGCUCCUCUUUAAAAGGUCUCAGUCAGUUGCUCCUCUUUAAAAGGUCUCAGUCAGCUGUUCCUCUUUAAAAGGUCUCAGUCAGUUGUUCCUCUUUAAAAGGUCUCAGUCAGUUGUUCCUCUUUAAAAGGUCUCAGUCAGUUGUUCCUCUUUAAAAGGUCUCAGUCAGUUGUUCCUCUUUAAAAGGUCUCAGUCAGUUGUUCCUCUUUAAAAGGUCUCAGUCAGUUGCUCCUCUUUAAAAGGUCUCAGUCAGUUGUUCCUCUUUAAAAGGUCUCAGUCAGUUGUUCCUCUUUAAAAGGUCUCAGUCAGUUGUUCCUCUUUAAAAGGUCUCAGUCAGUUGCUCCUCUUUAAAAGGUCUCAGUCAGUACACUUAUCAGUGGUGGCUGGUGCCACCUUGAAUCUGAGGAGGGACUCAUAGUAAUGGCUGGAAUGAAUAGACAGGCAUCAAACACAUCUAGACUUGGUUUCUUCCCAGUGUUUGACUCCGUUCCAUCUAUUCCAUUCCAGCCAUUAUUAUGAGCCGUCCUCCCUUGACCAGCCUCCAAUGACUCUCUUGUACAUAGGGAGGCUAUCACUUUGUGUUUGCUGUUUGCUUAAAGGGAUAGUUCAUCCAAAUUACACUAUAACCUUUAAAUUCAGAGGGUUCCUGAGUUGUUGGAAUAGAGAUAUUGCUGCUUAAGGUUCUUUAUUCCUUAGCCCUCUGAUAUCUCUCUACUGUUCUAGAGCCCUCUGAUAGCUCUCUACUGUUCUAGAGCCCUCUGAUAUCCCGCUACUGUUCUAGAGUCCUCUGAUAUCUCGCUACAGUUCUAGAGCCCUCUGAUAUCUCGCUACUGUUCUAGAGCCCUCUGAUAUCUCGCUACUGUUCUAGAGCCCUCUGAUAUCUCGCUGCUGUUCUAGAGCCCUCUGAUAUCUCUCUACUGUUCUAGAGCCCUCUACUGUUCUAGAGCCCUCUGAUAUCUCACUACUGUUCUAGAGCCCUCUGAUAUCCCUCUACUGUUCUAGAGCCCUCUGAUAUCUCGCUACUGUUCUAGAGCCCUCUGAUAUCCCUCUACUGUUCUAGAGCCCUCUGAUAUCUCGCUACUGUUCUAGAGCCCUCUGAUAUCCCUCUACUGUUCUAGAGCCCUCUGAUAUCUCUCUACUGUUCUAGAGCCCUCUGAUAUCCCUCUACUGUUCUAGAGCCCUCUGAUAUCCCUCUACUGUUCUAGAGCCCUCUGAUAUCUCUCUACUGUUGUAGAGCCCUCUGAUAUCUCUCUACUGUUCUAGAGCCUUCUGAUAUCUUGCUACUGUUGUAGAGCCCUCUGAUAUCUCUCUACUGUUCUAGAGCCCUCUGAUAUCUCUCUACUGUUCUAGAGCCUUCUGAUAUCUCGCUACUGUUCUAGAGCCCCCUGAUGUCUCUCUACUGUUCUAGAGCCCUCUGAUAUCUCUCUACUGUUCUAGUGCCCUCUGAUGUCUCUCUACUGUUCUAGAGCCCUCUGAUAUCUCUCUACUGUUCUAGAGCCCUCUGAUAUCCUCUCUACUGUUCUAGAGCCCUCUGAUAUCCCUCUACUGUUCUAGAGCCCUCUGAUAUCUCUCUACUGUUGUAGAGCCCUCUGAUAUCUCUCUACUGUUCUAGAGCCUUCUGAUAUCUUGCUACUGUUGUAGAGCCCUCUGAUAUCCCUCUACUGUUCUAGAGCCCUCUGAUAUCUCUCUACUGUUGUAGAGCCCUCUGAUAUCGCUCUACUGUUCUAGAGCCUUCUGAUAUCUCGCUACUGUUCUAGAGCCCUCUGAUGUCUCUCUACUGUUCUAGUGCCCUCUGAUGUCUCUCUACUGUUCUAGAGCCCUCUGAUAUCUCUCUACUGUUCUAGAGCCCUCUGAUAUCUAUACUGUUCUAGAGCCAUCUGAUGUCCCUCUACUGUUAUAGAGCCCUCUGAUAUCUCUCUACUGUUGUAGAGCCCUCUGAUAUCUCUCUACUGUUGUAGAGCCCUCUGAUAUCUCUCUACUGUUCUAGAGCCCUCUGAUAUCUCUCUACUGUUCUAGAGCCUUCUGAUAUCUCUCUACUGUUCUAGAGCCCUCUGAUAUCUCUCUACUGUUCUAGAGCCCUCUGAUAUCUAUACUGUUCUAGAGCCAUCUGAUGUCCCUCUACUGUUCUAGAGCCCUCUGAUAUCUCUCUACUGUUGUAGAGCCCUCUGAUAUCUCUCUACUGUUCUAGAGCCCUCUGAUAUCCCUCUACUGUUCUAGAGCCAUCUGAUGUCUCUCUACUGUUCUAGAGCCCUCUGAUAUCUCUCUACUGUUCUAGAGCCCUCUGAUAUCCCUCUACUGUUCUAGAGCCAUCUGAUGUCCCUCUACUGUUCUAGAGCCCUCUGAUAUCUCUCUACUGUUCUAGAGCCCUCUGAUAUCUAUACUGUUCUAGAGCCAUCUGAUGUCCCUCUACUGUUCUAGAGCCCUCUGAUAUCUCUCUACUGUUCUAGAGCCCUCUGAUAUCUCUCUACUGUUCUAGAGCCCUCUGAUAUCUCUCUACUG